GGUGGUUUCAGUGUAAACCAAAGAAAUUCAUACACUUCAGGUUUAUUCCAGUCUGUCUGAUCGUAAAUUUCUCUUUGUUGCAAAAAUUAUAGCAAAUAUGCAAUUACUUCUACAUCAGAUUCUGCAACCCUCUUUCAUAUAUCACUCAGGUGAAACUCCAGCCAAAAUUCCCAUGUAGUAUUUGGCUUCAGUGACACGGUUGGGUAUAUUGUAAUGAGUGCUAUCGGUAAAUCAAAAGGCUUUUGAUCAAAAUAAAAAAUUGUAAAUGGUAUUAUAAACAAAAUAUAAUUAAAGCUUCAAGGACCUUUGUAUUUUUCGAAAUAAAUUAUGAAAUAACUGUGAGGAACUUUCAGUCUUAAUUGUACAAGCCUAGUUUUUGCCCCUUCUGCACACUUAAGCGAUGAUAGAUUAUUUUUUUAUACCAUUCUUGCACUCUUUAUUUUUACUGCAAUAGGAAAAAUCAAGUCUGAAAGAUAAAACAAAUUAGAACAAAGUGCUAGCACCAGGAUCAGCCAAAGCAUGGUCGUAUUUUGUCAUUGUAGGGAGAGUCAGCAUCCUAGGUUUAUAAAUUAUUUGGUACUCAGUGAAAAAUGCUGUAACUUUAUUUAUAUACUUAAAAAAAAAAUACUUUUGGUAAUUGCUGUAACAGUGCUGUGCGUCUACCAUAUACAAAUAGUGCUUUUAUUAAAUGCUCUGGUCUCAUCACAGAAAAUAGGGGGGAAAUCUAAAACCCAGAAAUGUUACCCAUCUUGCAGCCUCCAGGUUAUAUUGUUCCUUCAGAUGGGACAAUCAGAACUGUAUCUGUUUCAUCAGCAAAAGGACCAUUUUAGUAUAAUUUCUCUAUAGUUUGAUCUAUGCUCAGUGUCCCAUUAACUUUUCAAUACUGUCACAAAUUCCCAGUUAGCACUUCCAUUGAGGUCAGCACGAGUCCUGUGUCUGGAGCUGCAGAGAUGUGGCCUAUUACAAACUGCUUCAUAAGAAAGAAAUUGUUCUCUGCUACUUGAUCUUUCUGAUCUGGAGAGAUGAAAUGUGAAAGGAAUCUUGAGAGGGGAAAUAUCUGUAGGAGUUUCUUAUCAUAAUCCGUAGAAAUGGACAGAAACUCUGCCAGGCCUUUUGAUUUUUUGAGCUUUUUUUUUUCCUUUGUUUGAAUGGUCUUCACCCUAACCUUGAAUGCUUGUAUAACAGAGUAUUGAAACGGAAACAGAAAGGACUUUCUUCUUUCAUGUGUACUAUUUCCACUUUGGCCUGGAUUUUGCCAAGAGGAAUUAACCUUGAGGAGGUUGCUAUGCAAACCUGAACCAACAUAUGUUCUGCUACUAAAAUGGUGAAGAGUGUGGAAAUACAACUUAAAAAUGAGUUUAUACCUUGCCAGAAACAAGACUUGUUCUAAUUCAGCCCCAGGAGAGAGGAUCCACCCGCUACAUGGCAACCUGGCAGGGCUUUUCUAGUUCUGGCCUAACGCUCUGUGUACUAGCAAAGCUGACUCUAAAAAUGACAGCACAUAGGAGGAUCCUUGCAGUUUUUCACACAAAAAAUGCACAAAUAAAAAUCCACUUGUUUGAAAUCUUUCA
ensembl:lncRNA